UGAAAGAUGUAAAUGCAACAUGAAUAAUACAAUAUAAAAUAAAUUAAAGAUAUUUCAGAAAAAUCUUACACAUCCUUAAUUUGAUCACAGCCCUCAAGAGGCAGAGGCAGAUGGGUCACUGAAUACAAGGCCAGCUUGGUCUACAGAGUGAGUUGAAGAACAGCCAGGCUACACAGGAAAAUACUGUUUCAAAAAUCCAAAAAAAAAAAUUGUAAAAGUAAUAAAAGAAAAUAAAAAGAUAAAAAGAAGGCAGGAGAGAGAAGAAGGAGGAGGAAGAAGUGGAAUGAGAGAAAAGAGAGCGAGCUCUGAAGGAUAAAAAGAAUGGAACAUGUAUUGAAUCAAGAAGAAGAGGUUGGCAAAUACAGAAGUGGAUGCUCACAGUCAUCUAUUGAAUGGAUCACAGGGCCCCCAAUGGAGGAGCUAGAGAAAGUACCCAAGGAGCUGAAGGAGUCUUAUAGGAGGAACAACAAUAUGAACUAACCAGUACCCCCAGAGCUCGUGUCUCUAGCUGCAAAUGUAGCAGAAGAUGGCCUAGUCAGCCAUCAUUGGGAGGAGAGUCCCUUGGUCUUGCAAAGAUUCUAUACCCCAGUAUAGGGGAAUGCCAGGACCAGGAAGCAGGAGUGGAUGAGUUGGGGAGCAGGGCAGGGGGGGAGUAUAGGGGCUUUCGG
rnacentral:lncRNA from 1 species